rnacentral:tRNA from 1 species
GCCGGGGUGGCGGAAUCGGCAGACGCAGCUGACUUAAAAUCAGCCAGGGCAACCUAUGAGGGUUCGAGUCCCUCUCCCGGCA